CAGCAGCCGCGGUAAAACGUAGGUGGCAAGCGUUGUCCGGAAUUAUUGGGCGUAAAGCGCGCGCAGGUGGUUUAAUAAGUCUGAUGUGAAAGCCCACGGCUCAACCGUGGAGGGUCAUUGGAAACUGUUAAACUUGAGUGCAGGAGAGAAAAGUGGAAUUCCUAGUGUAGCGGUGAAAUGCGUAGAGAUUAGGAGGAACACCAGUGGCGAAGGCGGCUUUUUGGCCUGUAACUGACACUGAGGCGCGAAAGCGUGGGGAGCAAACAGGAUUAGAUACCCGAGUAGUCCCUGUCUCUUAUAC
rnacentral:rRNA from 1 species